rnacentral:rRNA from 1 species
ACGAACGCUGGCGGCGUGCUUAACACAUGCAAGUCGAACGAUGAAGAAGAGAAACGCGAACUUCGGUUCAAAUUUCACUUCGGAUUAGUGGCAGACGGGUGAGUAACGCGUGAGCAACCUACCUCUUACAAAGGGAUAGCCUCGGGAAACCGUGAUUAAUACCAUAUGACACAUUCAUAAGGCAUCUUAAGAAUGUUAAAGCUACGGCGGUAAGAGAUGGGCUCGCGUCCCAUUAGCUAGUUGGUGAGGUAACGGCCCACCAAGGCGACGAUGGGUAACCGGCCUGAGAGGGUGAACGGUCACAUUGGAACUGAGACACGGUCCAAACUCCUACGGGAAGCAGCAGUGGGGAAUAUUGCACAAUGGAGGGAACUCUGAUGCAGCGACGCCGCGUGAGCGAUGAAGGAAUUCGUUUCGUAAAGCUCUGUUCUAUGGGAAGAAAAGGACUGUACCAUAGGAGAAAGCCCCGGCUAAAUACGUG